GACGAACGCUGGCGGCGUGCUUAACACAUGCAAGUCGAACGGAAAGGCCCUGCUUUUGUGGGUUGCUCGAGUGGCGAACGGGUGAGUAACACGUGAGUAACCUGCCCUUGUCUUUGGGAUAACUUCAGGAAACUGGGGCUAUUACCGGAUAGGAUCUCCUGCUGCAUGGUGGGGGUUGGAAAGUUUCGGCGGUUGGGGAUGGACUCGCGGCUUAUCAGCUUGUUGGUGGGGUAGUGGCUUACCAAGGCUUUGACGGGUAGCCGGCCUGAGAGGGUGACCGGCCACAUGGGGACUGAGAGACGGCCCAGAAUCCUACGGGAGGCAGCAGUGGGGAAUAUUGCACAAUGAGCGGGAGCCAGAGGCAGAAGCGCCGGGAGCGGGAUGACGGGCUUCGGGUGGUAAACCGAUGUCGAAUGUGACGAAGAGGGAGUGACGGUAAUGGGUAAAGAAGCACCGGCUAACUACGUG
rnacentral:rRNA from 1 species